GUUUGGGUUAACCAACUCAUCAUACGUAGCAUCCUUGCUUAUCAUUAUUGGUACUGUCUCUCGACCCUUCGACCGCCAAGUAUACCGAGUAGCAUUCUCCACCCAUUCACCAGGUAAGUCAACUUCUAUUAUUAUUAUUUGAUCUUCCAUUGAGGGUCACAAUACCUGAAGAUAUCACAAAAAUACAUAUUUCAGUGGUCUUACGAGAGAGAGAGAGAGAGAGAGAGAGAGAGAGAGAGAGAGAGAUUCAUCAAACAACUUCAAAAUUGCUAAAAGCCUUAGUUACUUAUCCCUACACCUCUUUAGUUGUCCCACAACCAACGAUAGCUGUCAGACAACUUUAGUAGUUUUGGGGGACGACUGUUGUAUUCAACUAUUUAUUCCAACAACUAAUAAGUUGUUCCACAAUUUUACUAGUUGUCCUGACAACUAAUCAGUUAAUCAGUAACUAAACACAGUUAUCGGACAACUUUAGUAGUUAUUGGGAUAACUUCUGUAAUUGUCGAACUAUUUAUUGUGACAACUAUAAAAGAUGUUCCACUAUUGAAUUAGUUGUCCUAUCAACUAUUCAGUAGUCCAACAGCUACACACAGUUGUCGGGCAACUAUAGUAGUUGUUACGUCCCGUAUUUUUAUACAUUGGGACAACCCGGAUUAACUAUGAUAAAUUAAGGCCAAGACUAUUCCGGGAUUUGAAGUCGGGACUUUUGACCUUUGAUUUUAUUUUGAGACAUAAGUUGUGUAUGAAAUAGUUAGCUUGAACACUUAGGAAAAAUUGGGACCAUAAUUCAUAAAUUUGGAAAUUAAAACUCUUGCAUAAAAAAAAAAAAAAGGAAGAUGUGUGGAUUGAAGUGGUCCCCACACAUUGUUGUGGCCAAUUUUAAUUGGUCCAACACAUGUGUGGGCCCAAAGACAAUAAGAGAUAUUUUAAGGGGACUUAAAAGAUGACCACUUAGUCAUCUUUCUCUCAUUUCACAUUCCCACACUUAGAAAAUAAAGCAAGAAGUUGAGGAACCAAAACCAUGGCUCACGGCCAAGACCAUGGAAAACCAAAUCCAAAUCAAGCCCCUCUAAAAAUAUUUCUUGGGUACAAAUCAACUAAUUAGAGGUCCCUAAGUAACUUGGAAGCAUUGUUGGAGUGAUCAAGUCUUUCAUUUAAGAGAUUUGCAAACCCUAGCCUAUUGGUGGAUUGAAGAAGAAAGACCUUGGGGAGCCCGAGGCGUGGAUUGGAAAUUUACUUUAGAUUGGCUAUUUUGGAAGUGCGUACGAGGUACAGACGCACAGCCUGGUGAUCCACCUGUUUAGGACACCCUUUCUGCUAUUCGGAGUGCUCCUCUCUUUCCGGAGCUUAUACUUUUGGUAUAUAUAUUUAUUAGUGCAUUUGUAUAUAUUCGUUCAUGGGUACGGCGGGGCCCUGUCCCGUCAUAUGAUUCUGUCGGUCUGUUUAGAGGUCUGUGGACAUGUUUGUGGGUUGGGGUCUUUCUGUAUAGAUGUAUGUACAUGUCGUUUGGGCGAUCCCAUACGCCGAGGCGGCCGGUCCGCAUAUGUUGUUUGGGCGAUCCUAUACGCCGAGGCGGCCGGUCCGCAUAUGUUUAUAUAUUGCUUGGUUAGCCCUGUGUGGCUUUUGUUGGUA